rnacentral:rRNA from 1 species
GACGAACGCUGGCGGCGUGCUUAACACAUGCAAGUCGAACGGAGUGGCGAACGGGUGAGUAACACGUGGGUGAUCUGCCUUGCACUUCGGGAUAAGCUUGGGAAACUGGGUCUAAUACCGGAUAGUGCAAGAUGAGCUCGCGGCCUAUCAGCUUGGUGGUGGGGUAAUGGCCUACCAAGGCGUCGCUGGGUAGCCGGCCUGAGAGGGUGUACGGCCACAUUGGGACUGCGAUACGGCCCAGAGGCAUACGGGAGGCAGCAGUGGGGAAUAUUGCACAAUGGGCGGAAGCGUGAUGCAGCGACGCCGCGUGGGGGAUGAAUGCUUUCGGGUUGUAAACUCCUUUCGACAGGGACGCGGUACCUGUAUAAGAAGCACCGGCUAACUACGUGCCAGCAGCCGCGGUAAUUC